AGUUGGCACCUUUAAACACCCCAAAAAAAUGCUUGCUGGGAUGGUACCAAGAGGCUGUGCUCACUUCUGGACAGAGGGGGUGUAGACUUGCAGCUAGUGCCGAUAAGAGGUGCAGACGCUGAGGCUGUUCUGUAUGCGAGUGUUGAGGUUUUGAAACAUCAGCUGACAACGUGUAGGUAGAGAGUAGCAGGUUCUGGGAGUAGAUGAGCUUGUCACCGGUGUAGACUUUGACCGACUUGUGAAGUUACUCACAAGACCUCCGCUUAUGGGACAUUACCAUUCAAAUGAAACGUUUCCAGCAGAAUAUGACGCUU